GACGAACGCUGGCGGCGUGCUUAACACAUGCAAGUCGAACGAUGAAGCCGGAGCUUGCUCUGGUGAAUUAGUGGCGAACGGGUGAGUAACACGUGAGUAACCUGCCCUUGACUCUGGGAUAACUGCGGGAAACUGUAGCUAAUACCGGAUACGACCCUCGGAGGCAUCUCCUGGGGGUGGAAAGAAUUUCGGUCAAGGAUGGACUCGCGGCCUAUCAGCUAGUUGGUGAGGUAAAGGCUCACCAAGGCGACGACGGGUAGCCGGCCUGAGAGGGUGACCGGCCACACUGGGACUGAGACACGGCCCAGACUCCUACGGGAGGCAGCAGUGGGGAAUAUUGCACAAUGGGCGCAAGCCUGAUGCAGCAACGCCGCGUGAGGGAUGACGGCCUUCGGGUUGUAAACCUCUUUUAGCAGGGAAGAAGCGAAAGUGACGGUACCUGCAGAAAAAGCACCGGCUAACUACGUGCCAGCAGCCGCCGCAGUAA
rnacentral:rRNA from 1 species